CCUACGGGUGGCAGCAGUGGGGGAUAUUGCACAAUGGGGGGAACCCUGAUGCAGCGACGCCGCGUGGGUGAAGGAGCGUUUCGGCGCGUAAAGCCCUAUUGGCAGGGAAGAAGAUGACGGUACCUGACCACGACGCCCCGGCUAACUACGUGCCAGCGGCGGCGGUACUACGCAGGGGGCAAGCGUUAUCCGGAUUUACUGGGUGUAAGGGGGGCGCGGAGGGCAAUGCAAGCCAGGAGUGAAAGCCCGGGGCCCAACGCCGGGACUGCUCUUGAAACUGCAUGGCUGGAGUGCAGGAGGGGCAGGCGGAGUUCGUGGUGUAGCGGUGAAAUGCGUAGAUAUUAGAAAGAACACCGAUGGCGAAGGCAGCCUGCUAGGCUGUGACUGACGUUGAGGCCCGAAGGCGUGGGGAGCAAACAGGAUUAGAUACCCUUGUAGUC
rnacentral:rRNA from 1 species